rnacentral:lncRNA from 1 species
UAUGCAUGCAGUUUCAAAUAUCAAGAACAAGCGGUCGAUGUCGAUAGUCCGUUUUCUAACUGUUCAGAGUUAGACAUGUCACUUGUUCAUUCUUGGAAGCCUUCAAUUCCCCGUCCAACGAUGGGAACUCUUUCUGAUUGUGUUGACUAUAAAUGCUUGUAUGGUAAUUCUGUCGUUUAUCUGUACAAGUGGUUGCAUUUCCUCUCCUUUCCCAACAAACAAACGAACGAAACGCUACUAGUCUGCUUUCUCUGGAGCUCAUCCUCAAUGGCGCUUAUACGUCAGGAAACUUAUAUGUAUACUAAUAAUGAUUGUUUCAAGAACAACGAUGUAUGGACGAACUAUUCUAAAUUCGUCAAUAUCAGUUAUGCAUGACUAAAAUAUAAGUUUUAUUACAACUACUGUAUUACUCAUUUGGAUUAAUGACGGCUGUCAUGUUCAACAUUGC